rnacentral:rRNA from 1 species
UACGGAGGGUGCAAGCGUUAUCCGGAUUUACUGGGUUUAAAGGGUGUGUAGGCGGACUUUUAAGUCAGCGGUGUAAUCUCCGGGCUCAACCCGGAAACUGCCAUUGAUACUAUUGGUCUUGAAUGUUGUUGAGGUGGGCGGAACGGGUCAUGUAGCGGUGAAAUGCAUAGAUAUGACCCGGAACACCGAUUGCGAAGGCAGCCCACUAAGCAACGAUUGACGCUGAGGCACGAAAGCGUGGGGAUCAAACAGG